UACGUAGGGGGCAAGCGUUAUCCGGAAUCAUUGGGCGUAAAGCGCGUGUAGGCGGUUCCGUAAGUCCGCUCUGAAAGCCCAGGGCUCAACCCUGGGAGGCGGGUGGAUACUACGGAACUGGAGUACGGAAGAGGAGAUUGGAAUUCCCGGUGUAGCGGUGAAAUGCGCAGAUAUCAGGAGGAACACCAACAGCGAAGGCAGAUCUCUGGGACGCUACUGACGCUGAGACGCGAAAGCGUGGGGAGCAAACAGG
rnacentral:rRNA from 1 species